rnacentral:lncRNA from 1 species
CGCCGCCCAGCUGCCGCUCCACCGGUGAACCACUUUGAAGACAAGAGCACUGCCGAUGAUAGUUUCUUACAAAUUGAUUCGGGUAUUGUCUUUCCAAUAUCUUCUCCAUCCAUUCUUUAUUAGAAUUUCUGAAAACAAUUGCAGGAAUUUGCUUUCAAUUAAUCCUUAAUUCUUAUUAUUCUUUGUUGUAGCUUGUUCAGUAUUAUGCGAUAAAUUGAUUUUGCAUCGUAUUAAUUAUGAAUCCAGCCCUGUGAUUUUGAUUACUCUGUCAUGACAUGAUUAAUUAUAAUCCCCAAAUCAAGUGAUACUUUCCCUCUUCAUGUGAUCUCAUGACAGUAUACCUAUGUGGUAAUUGUAGCAAUCUCCUUCUUUCAUUUCUUAAAGCUUGAUUCAUGAUAGAUAUGGUGACUUGAGACAGCCUCGGGUUUAGUAAUUGUUCAAGGUAAACUUUGAUGUUGGCACAUUUGAAUAAUUGCCUCCUUUUCCAUUGUUAACUGAUUUCCUCUCUUUAUUUAGACUGGAACUACUUUAGUACUCUUGGAUUUAUGAAAAGUUUGCCAAGGUCAAUUUGCUUUCCUUCUCUUCUGCUUCAUUUAACUUUGACAACCUCUAGCUUUGGUGUUUUUGGUAAAGAUCGAAUGAUUUUAUGCUCAGUUGAUUCAUAAUCUCUUAUUUGUUUCCUCCACGGAUAUCUUGAUGAAUUGACUCUUAUGAUAAGUUCGAACUUGUCGAAGUUUUUCUUUAUUCUUACAAUGAAUUCCGGCCUGAGUUUACUCAGCAGCUCCUUUGUACUUGGUCUUAUAUUUUGGAAAAUCUGAUUCGGUUGUCGAAGAUAAGGCUUUCCUAGAUUAGUGUUGUGAAUUAUUUUUGCAGUUUUCUCUUCUUGAUUGGUUACUACUUGUAUGCUAAAUAAACAGCUCCUCUCCUCUCUACUUGGCAAGGACUGAUCAAACGCUCUUUCUCUCCAAAAUGAAAUGAUAAAUCUCUUGAUCUCUCCUCCUCAUCUCUACAAUAAGUCUAAACACCGAAAGUUCCUUCCCUUUUGCUCAUUUUUCUCUCCUCUCUAUUUCUCAUAUUACUCUAAGGCUUUCAUAUUGUGGUGCUGUUGAAGCGGCUCGGUUUUGUCUCUCUUAUAAUUAAUUGCCAUAUCACUGGUUAGUUCUCUUAACAUUGCAUUUGAUACUUACGUGAUACCUUUGUAUAUCUUUAAUUUUGUAUCAGCGUUGUGGAUGGCGGUUGCCUCGUCAGCAAUGGCGAAAGGUGAGACGAGGCGACCCUUCAUCGCUUUUGUGGCGAGACGAUCUUCAAAAAGCGAUGCCAUGUCGACAAUGGCGAGAAAGGUGAGAGGCAAGAAAGGCGUCGCCUUUUGUGUUUUCUUUAAAAAGGUGACCAAUUUAUGAUUUUAAAAGUUAAAAGGUAAUUUUAGGGUUUUCGACUAGACUCUUCGGGCGACCAACCAGACUUUUCCAGCGAUUCCAAAGUCCAACCAAUACAUAUUUCUUCUCCUUCAAAUCUCCUCCUCCUCCUCAUGGAUGAACUAAAAAGGAUGGAUUGCUCUUCUAAAGUAACUUGGAGAAUCUUAUCUUCCCUUCUUCUUCAAACCUGUCCAAUAACUCCUAACAGUUCAUCACUUUUUCUUCGGUUUUUUGAAUCUUGUUGACAUGGAUAUGUGAUUCUAUUUUGCUAGUUGCAUCGGUAGGUGCUUUCAACAUCGAAACUCAUCAAAUGAUCCCCUAAAAUUGCAGCAACAUCAGUUGAUGGCAAACCCUUGCCCAGGCAUUACUGAUUUGACACUUCUAGGAAAAAAAAUAGGAGUUGCAGGGCUCUAUUUGUUGUGCAUAGGAAGAGAAGUGACCCUCUUUUCCUCUUCAUCUACUAUAUCUGCCCAUCUCAAAGCACGUGUCACAUCUUGUUGUUUCUUAUUAGAAAUAACCAUUUCAUUUUUAACUAGCGUUCGACCAUAGAUUUCCAAAUAUUUUUAGCAAAUAUUAUUUGGGUGAAAUUUCAAUGUGUUUGGCCAUAGUAUUUGGGAAACAUAUUUCAAUUUUUAAAGAAAUAUGAUCUAUACCCAUAAAUUUUAAAAACAAUCAAAACCAACCAUAUGUUUGUAUUACACAGCAAGAUAGAAACGUCGAUGUAAUAAGGUUCAUGACUUCCGCAACAAGUCAAUUGGAUCUUCGUUGCAGCAAAUAACAAAUAGUGUCCAUGACACUGGAGUAAUGUGGUAGUUAUGAGUGAGUGCAACAAGCAUUAUUCCAUACAUGGUGAAGUAAACGAAACACAUGACUUUGUUACUCUGAGGCGAUUGUUCGUCAUUUUCAUCAACACAUCAUCACUUUCAUAUUCACUAAUAUGUCAUCGUCACUUUGGUGUUCACAAAAAAAAAUUAUGCAAUACAUCGCAAACAACUACCAUAGCGGGUGUUUUUGUAAAAAAUAAAAGUUUGGUGUAUAAUUUGAAAUUUUAAAGCUCCCAAAUAGUGAGAUUUGACUCAAAUACUAGUUUUUUCUAGUAUUUGGAAAUUUGGGGUUAUUUACCAAAAAGUUUGCCAAAUAGUGGCAAAUUGUAUGGACAAACACUUUGUCAAUUUUCUUCCCAAAUUUUACUUGGGAAAUCUAUGGCCAAACGGGUUAGAGUUAGUUGGAGAAAUUGAGAUCUUACCUUUCUCAACAUUUUGGUCAUUCCUUGUAGACAUUGGCUGCUGCCUCGAAUACCCAUGAUGCUCACCCAACAAUUCCAAUGAUUAGGAAGGAAUCUCUUGUACUGAGGCAUUUAAAUUUACAAGUGGUAGAUUGUUCACUGAUUAACCAUAGUAGCAAACUGACUUUCGUUUAAAGUGUUAAUUACUUCUUGAGACACGGAACCUCCUUUGGAACAAUUGCUCGAGCACUUGAGUUCAUAGUUUGACUGCCUACAAUUUGGUGCAUUGUGUUACGAAUUGGUGAACCAAUUCUAACACCCGAAGAGUCUUUCUUUGUCACCACAGUUCAAUUUGAAUGAUGUACUAAUUUCCCUUCAGUCACAUUGUUAGAUUGAUGCACUUGUUGCCCAUAAUUUUUGAUAAAUAGUGCCGCAAUUAAAGCUUGAUUAAUUAUGUAGCAUCAGUCAAACUAGUGUGCUCUUCGCCUACACUUUCACCCGGCUUAGCAGCAACCGUAGCCAAUUGAUCCCUUUGACCAUCACCUAUUUAUUGAACCUGUGCAUUCCCAGAUUUUGAUACACAAUUUGCAUCUUCAGUAAGCUCGUGUUUUGCACAUCCCCAACACAUGUAGGAUCAACAACAUUUAAAUUAGAAUUGCUGCACAAUUUUUUCACUCACUUGGACCACCAAUCACGCUCAUCAUCAUCCCAUUAACAACUCUGUUUCCAACAUUUAUUUGUGGCAAAAAAUUCCUUUGUUGGUUAGGACUAGAAACGUUAUUUUCGCCAACAAACUUUUCAGCUUGUGAAUGACAUGUAGCUUCAAGUUUUUCAUUACCAGCCCUGGUAGCUUUAGCUACUGGUAUUAACACAAAGCUAAAGUUACAACACAAUCAGAUUGUGAGACAUCCCUAAUCACACCAUCUAGUUGUUGUUGAGGAUAUUUUUGCACCAAAUUAUUAGCUUGAUGAUCAUUAUUACCAACUUGUAUGAUUUCAUUACCACCAACUCACUUUGCAUCUAAUAUCUCCCUCGCAUCACCUUGAUAUUUUUCAAUAUAAGUUCCAUAUGUCAAUGCUUUUUCUGGAGUUUUUGUUGCAUUCUUUAUCAAUAGCAAUCUACAUCCGCUUUCGUCAUGGCCUUGGUGCUUACAGAAGGUACAAUAACAUGGCAAUUAUCAUACACAAACUUUUGAAAGUGAUUCAUAAUUUUUCCAAAUUUCUCAUCGACAUAUUGAAGUUUCAUUCGUUGUGGAAGCUUAGCCAAUAAAUCCAUUCUGACUUUAACCCUUGUUGUGCUAGGCCUCGACUUCUCUUGGGUGGCUUUAUCAAUAGCAAUUGGCUUACCCACUGUCGACAUAAUGGACAGUAACAACUGUUUUGCAAUUAAGUCUAGCGGUAAAUUCGAAAAGAUAUUCAAACAAAAGCUUUUGAGGUUUCUUAUCUAGGAUUGAGACCAACUCUCCAUGGAAAGACUCCGAAUUGGUGUUGUGUACCAUUGUGUAACAAGUAGUUGACAGAUUUAGCCGCACCUAAAACGUAAUCAUCAUACCUAUCACAUCUAAGCAAUAUAUGUCGAAGUGUGAGCCAUCUGACAAGGCAACGACCUUGACUUCUUAGUUUUGUAGGCAAUAGCUUUCUCAAUUCUUGUAUAUCAAUUUGUUCAUGUGAAAACUUUAUUAGAAGAGCUUGGUGUAAGCCUUCCUCCACUGCAUAUCACUUUAUCUCCUCUAUCAUGAAUUAACGGUAGGUUCCCAUGUUUGUUGUUUUGGGUUCGGUAGUGCUGCAUAAGAAUCUUGAGAAUUAGAAUUAGGGUUCGGCUCUCCCACAGCCAAGGGUUGGGGAGAGGACAAAGAAGCCAUGGAAGGCUUUACUUCACCAUUCAUACAGAGAAGGGAGCAACUAUUUAGGUUUCUUGAUUCGAUUCGUGUUGUGAAUAUUUUAAUGACUUGAAGUGAAUCCUAAGUGUAUAAGAUGGAAUUUUGCUCUCUUUGUGGACUUGAAAAAUGAUUGAUAAAGAAGUUUGAGCUAAUACUAUAAUAGAUCUUAUAAUAAAUUUUAGUGAAAAAACGCAAAAAAACGAUAAGAGUAUAGUAAGAAUAUUAGAGACAAUAGAAAUAACUCAAAAUAAACAUAAAAAGAUAUUAGAAAGGGUAGAACAAAAUCUUGAUUUCUUAAAAUCACAAGAAUUAGAACUAGAUAGAAAAAUCCAAUAUUUAAACAAUAAGUUUAAUAUAGAACAAAUACCUAUCAAAGUAGAAAUAGGAAGGUUAAUAAAAACCAUAACAGAAAAGCCUAAAGCAUUAGAACUAAGAACAACUAAAUUAGUUGAAAAAAUUAUAACGCAAGUAGAAAUAGUAACCACUGAAGUUAUUGAGUUAAAAAAGACAAUAAAACAACUAGAAGAUAAACUCCUUUCAUGAACGAUCUAUGCCAAGAACCAUCCUAUACAAAAGCCUUAAAUUUUACAGGAAGUAUCCAACCAGAUCCGCAAGGAUUGUCUGACCACCAACCUUCAAGUAAAUCAGAUCAAAUAAUUAUUAAACAAAAUAACACUAAUAGUAUUACUGAUAGAAUUAAAUAAAAAAUUAGAUAAAAUAAUUAAAGAAAAAGAAGUUAUAAAAGAACAACCUAAAAAUACUGACAUAGAAGAAAUAAUAAAUCAAUUAAAAAAUAUUGAAAUCACUCCACUUAAAGAAAGACCAACUAUAGUUAGAAAAUCUCAAAAAUGGACUUUCUUUCAGGUAGAAGAACAACAACCGAAGAAAGACCACGAGUAAGUUUUUCCGAUAAUAGAAUAGGAAAUAGUUUUAUAUCAAGAAUAUUAACAAGAAAUAAGCAAGAAGAUAAACAAAUCCAGGAGUUAAAUGAAGUAAUAGAUAUAGAUAAAGACCUAAGAAUUUUCCAACAGAAUCAGUUGAAUCUACUGAACCCAAAGAUAUUAUAUGAUACAAGAUAUUUUGCAAGAAAUAAUCAGCUAUAUAGACAUUAUAGAGAAGACCAAAUUUCAGCCAUAGGAAAAGAAAUAGCUACUAUGAAUCUAAUAAACCCAGAAUCCUUACGAGAAAUUAUACAUACAGACUAACAUUAAUGCACAUGGGCUUAAUAGUAGUAGGAUUAAAAAGAUUAACCAGAAAGAAUCUAGGAACUAAAGUAUUAAUAGUAAUAUACGAUGAUAGAUGGUCCGACUUAAAGAAAUCCAUCAUAGGAUUAACAGAAGUAGACAUGACCAAUAAUGGAGGAAUAUUUUAUAUUAUCCCAAAUUUUAUAAUUAAUUUAGGAGAAUUCGGAAAUCACAUAAAAAUAGGAAUUCAGACUAAAAGAUAUGAAGAAAUGAGUAGCGGAAAUAAUCUGCUAAUGUGCGUAGGUUUCAUUGGCAAAAUAACAUCCAGAAGUAAUACAAAGUUUAGACUAAAAGUGGAAGAUGUAGUGGAGGUAAUGGGAAACAAAAGAAUAAAAUUAAUAAAACCAAUAAAAAUAAAUACAGAAGAAUAUGCAGGAUUAGAAUGGAACCUAGAACAAUUUAAUAAAAGGAAAUUACUAACACCAGAAUCUCAUCUAAUGUACACUAAUACAAAAGGAGAAACAUCUAUAAAAUUUACCAACUAUAAUUACUCUAAUCAAACUAGUUUAGAAGAAGAAUUAGAAUUAGAAGAAGAGAAAGAGUUUAUGAAUGUAGAAAUAGUGCAAGAAUGAUAUGAAGUAGAUAACGCCUUACAAGAAGCUGAAAGAAGAUAUAAUAAUAAUAAUGAUAUAACCUUUAAAUGUAAAAGAUGUAAGAUAGGAAAUAUGGGUAUAGUUGAAGUUGAAAAACAUUUUAAAACAUGUAAAUUCAGAACAGAUAAUUUCGGAUAUAGAAAAGAAUACAAUAACCAAGAAAAAUUAGAAAGCCUUGAAAAGAUAAUAGAAAAUAUAUAUGAAAGCGAAGACGAAAUAGAAAGAAAUUCUAUAAUAAGUCAAAAGGACAUUUGUAUUAUCAAGAUACUCAAGAUCCCAAUGAAGAUGCUCAUGAUCUCAAUGAAGAUGAUGAUUCGGGAAUGAGUUUUGAUUCCGUAGCUCUACAAAAUCUUGAUACUUGAAGACAAAAUGAAGAAGGGGAAGAACAAGACAAUAAGUUAAAGUAGGAAUAAAAGUGUACCAUGUGGGUAUGCCCACAUUUGUCAUGUGAGUGUUUACUUUAUCACUAUCCUCCAAAGAGGAAAAAACUGAUAAGCACGCGUUGUAUAUUGUGUCAAAGUUUGUGUCAAUAAGUGAAAAUAAUGCAUAUGCGAUGGGGCCCAAAUGUGUACCCGGCAUGAAUUAUUUGAACUUAUCGUUUCAAGAGUCGGCCACGUCUAGGCCACUACUUGCCACUACUUUUUAUUACUUUUUAUUCCACUAUCUUAGUGCGUUGGCCACGUUUGGCCAUUAGGAUGUAUGCUAAGACCUCCUCAACCUCUAUAUAAAGACACUCAUCCACACUUAAAAAAAGUAGAAAAGAAAAGAAAGAAAAACCAGAGAAAGAACACACAACAUAUUCUCCUUCCCAAUGUUCCAGAAAACCAUCUCCACUACUCAUUCUGUUAUGGUUUUUAUUAGCCUUCCUAUUUCUACUUUGGUAAGUAUUUGUUCUAUAUUAAACUUAUUGUUUAAAUAUUGAAUUUUUCUAUCUAAUCUUUUAUGUUUCCAGUAUUUUCCCUAAAAAUAUAUGUGAAUUAUGUCUGUUUAUUUGCACCGAGUUUAGAAGACUGUGAUUGGUCCAAAGGGCGGGUCACAGAUGGAUUUCUCGGUUAUCNNNNNNNNNNNNNNAAAUUAUGUCUGUUUAUUUGCUUUAAUUAAUGUGUUUGUAAUAUAAAACUACCCUCAGUAUAUGGUUAGACUUUUAACUUCUUAACAACGAUGGAUUAACCUGUAAAUUACUAGGAUGUUUCUAAGGCCUUAAAAAAGUCCGGCAAAAUCACAGGACGUCUUGAUGGCCAUCUCCGAGGUGGGGUUAAUGAAGAAGUUUUAAGAAUACAGGUUAAAAGGAAGAGAUGAACGGGGUAGUAACCUAAAAAAAAAAAAAAAAGGGAAAACAGGAUACAUAUAAGAUAAACAUGAUAAGACACGAGUAAGAGGGAGUACUGAGUAGGAUUUACAAAAAUCUUAAUUUCUGCCAUUAUACUACUCUGCUGUUACCAGUUCUACUGAUAUUAUUGUCAUUUCUGUUGCUUUUGUUUUCCUAUUUAUUUUUGGUAUCAGAGCGAGAAGUUUUUUGGGAAGUAACUGUUUAAUGAGAAGACCGCUACAUAGUACUCAAAUACAUUUAGAAACAAAACGAAAGUUGGAAAACUUAUACCUCGAAUAUAAGAGACUAAAUAGUACUAAAGAAGACAAUAUAAUGUUAGAUUAUCUAAUAGAAAUAAUAUCUAGACUAGAAUAUAAAUUUAUUACACAGUUAAAAUCUAGACAAAAAAUAAUAUAUGAAAAAACACCCUUUUGCUAAUCAAAUACGACUAAGAUAUUGGUAUCUAUACAGAGAAAUACAAAUAAAAUCAGAGUGGUUAAAAUUAAAACAGGCUUUAAGUUUAUAUUUAAAAGUAUUAGAAACAAGAGACUUAGUAGAUAGACUCGGUAAUCACGGAGGCCUAUACACAGUAAACAGACAGACACUAGUAAACCCAGAGUUGUUAAGUGCUCUGAGGUGGGAAUUACAUAGUAUUGAUAGUGAUAUCCAAUCGGCAAAUAAUAGAAUAAAAUUUCAAAGGAAAAAUAUUAGCAAAAUAUAUAUUCCGUUAGGAUAAGAUAGCAAGUAUAGAUCCAUUAAAACAAUUAGAAUAUUUAGACUUAAGAAUUUACCCUGAAAAGAAAUAUAGAAUAUUAAAAGAAAAUUCAGUAAUAAGGUGCAACUUCAGCCAACGAGAGCACCUUUUACAUUCAGAAGAUAAGCAAUAUAAUACUAUAAUAGAUCUUAUAAUAAACUUUAGUGAAAAAACGCAAAAAAAGGAUAAGAGUAUAGUAAGAAUAUUAGAGACAAUAGAAAUAAUUCAAAAUAAACAUAAAAAGAUAUUAGAAAGGGUAGAACAAAAUCUUGAUUUUUUAAAAUCACAAGAAUUAGAACUAGAUAGAAAAAUUCAAUAUUUAAACAAUAAGUUUAAUAUAGAACAAAUACUUACCAAAGUAGAAAUAGGAAGGCUAAUAAAAACCAUAACAGAAUGAGUAGUGGAGAUGGUUUUCUGGAACAUUGGGAAGGGGAAUAUGUUGUGUAUUCUUUCUCUGGUUUUUCUUUCUUUUCUUUUCUACUUUUUUUAAGUGUGGAGGAGUGUUUUUAUAUAGAGGUUGAGGAGGUCUUAGCAUACAUCCUAAUGGCCAAACGUGGCCAACGCACUAAGAUAGUGGAAUAAAAAGUAAUAAAAAGUAGUGGCAAGUAGUGGCCUAGACGUGGCCGACUCUUGAAACGAUAAGUUCAAAUAAUUCAUGCCGGGUACACAUUUGGGCCCCAUCGCAUAUGCAUUAUUUUCACUUAUUGACACAAACUUUGACACAAUAUACAACGCGUGCUUAUCAGUUGUUUCCUCUAUGGAGGAUAGUGAUAAAGUAAGCACUCACAUGACAAAUGUGGGAAUACCCACAUGGUACACUUUUAUUCCUACUUUAACUUAUUGUCUUGUUCUUCCCCUUCUUGAUUUUGUCUUCAAGUAUCAAGAUUUUGUAGAGCUACGAAAUCAAAACUCAUUCCCGAAUCAACAUCUUCAUUGGGAUCAUGAGCAUCUUCAUUGGGAUCUUGAGUAUCUUGAUAAUACAAAUGUCCUUUUGACUUAUUAUAGAAUUUCUUUCUAUUUCGUCUUCGCUUUCAUAUAUAUUUUCUAUUAUCUUUUCAAGGCUUUCUAAUUUUUCUUGGUUAUUGUAUUCUUCUCUAUAUCCAAGAUUAUCUGUUUUGAAUUUACAUGUUUUAAAUUGUUUUGCUACCUGUUUUUGAUUAUAAUGGUCCUGCUAGUCUUCCUAAGUCCAUAAUAAAAUUUCUAGCAUAUUUUACCAAUCCUAAAUAUUCUUUUUCUUUUUAUGGAGAAUAGUCUUCUUUGUUGUUGUCUCUACCUGAGUAAAUGAUCUAGGUAACCUUCGCCUGGAUGAAGGACCUUCACCUUCACUUUUUGGCAAAGUGACAGUCAUAAACGGGUUUGAUGUGUCUUUACCAGCUACCGUUUGAACUGGACUAGCUGUAUCUUUUUUAUCCGAUACAGUGGAUCUUGUUGCAUUCGUUGGGGAAUGCACACCCUGCUCAUCCAUUUUUUCUAGAGAUGGAAAACUCUUUUCUGAGGUCUGUGUACUUGUAUCAAUCUUCUGAAUUGAUUCUUUACCUUUGAAUGAUUUUACCUGCUCCAUUAGUUUAGUAUUCUCUUGGAGUAAUGCUUCCACCUUUACAUUUAAUCUUUUGAAGGCCUCGGUCAUUGAAGAACAAUGGUCACAAAAGAUUAUUUUGUCUGUGUCUUUUUGAAUAUUGUAUUGAGGAGUAUUUUGGGGAUUUUGUCUGAGGGCUGGAGAGAUAUAGUAAUUUGGGCCAAGUAUCCCUCUUAUGGUAAUUGUCGAAAAGACAAAUUCGAAUUCGGAUAACAUAUUAAAUUAUGCUUACCGAAGUACAUACGAUCCAUCAUCUCUAUUGAUGGUGUCUGAGGUCUAAACUUCAUAUUACUUAAUACAGUCUGAGCGUAUGAGUCUGAUGCUGAGGCUACUCCUUUGCCUUUGUCUGUUGAACGGGUUGGUCUCAUGCUGAAAGCAAAUAUACGGUUAAGUUAUUUUAAUAUUUAGUCUACUUAAUUGAUCUGCUAAACUGUUAUCCUUUCCUUUUAUAUAUUCAAAGAUAACAUUUGGAUAAAUGGAUAUAGUAUCCAUAAAAUUUAGUCAUCGUCUCUUACUACUAGCCUUUUGAUUUAUCUUUUGAUGUAAUUUAACUAUGGCUUCGCAGUCAGUUCGUACUAGUAUCUCAUUUUUAUUUAAAAUAUAUAACUUAAAACUAUUAAGACCGUAUAUGAUAGCUAAAACUUCGGCAUCUAUACUGCUCAUAUUGCCAUUCUCUUUAUAUUUUUCACUUUGAUAAACACAAAUCUUUUCUUCUAUAUUAUCACUAUAUUUAUUUGGUCUGGCUUUUAACACAACUCCCUAUCCUUGGAAACUGCCAUCUGUUUCAAUUAUUAGAUAAUCUGUUCUAAUGGUAUACUUAGUUCUGGAAUGUUUUUAACUUUUUCUUUAAUUUGUUGUACUAAUUUAAUGUCUUCUAUAUUAAAAUGUUUUUGUCCUUUAGUACCUGUUUUUGAGUAUAAAGGUCCGGCUAGUCGUCCUAAGUCUUUAAUAAAAUUUAUAGCAUAAUUUACUAACCCUAAAAAUUUUUGUAAAUCUUUUGUAUUAUCUAAUUUAUCAGGCAUAUCCAAUACUUUUGUUGCGAUAUGUGGUUGUAAUUUAAUCUUACCUUCUCCCAAAGUUACUCCUAAAAAAUUUAUAUGGUUCUUACAUAAUUCCAUUUUCUUUUUACUUACUAUUAUUCCAUUUUUUACGAAUAAACGAAAUACCGUCUGUAAGUGUCCUAAAUGGUCUUUAAUAUCUUUACUAAAAACUAAGAUAUCAUCUACAUAUACUAAGACAAACCUUUUAUAGUCUCCAAAUAUAGUAUCCAUUUUUUUUUGAAAUAUUGGCGGGGCAGUCUUUAGCUCGAAUGGCAUAGCUAACCAUUCAAAAUGUCCUUCGGGACAAGUGAAUGCUGUCCAUUCUAUGUUUUCUUCAUGCAUUUUUACCUGCCAAUGUCCUGAUUUACAAUCGAAUUUACUAAAUAUCCUUUUUCCCUGGAUUUUAUUGAUUAGUUCAUUUUUAUCGGGUAAUUUAUAGGCAGAAUGAGCUCUCUACUUUUAUUAAGGUGUAAUCUUUUUCUCUUAUAUCAUAUUCUUCUUCUUCUUCGUAUUGCUCUUUAUGGCCUAAAUCUUUACAACAUUGAGUUUUCUUUUUGUAGUCUUUACAACAUGCCUGUGAACUAUCAGUUUCGGAGGUGUUUUGAGAUAUACCAACUUGUCUUCGUUUUGUUUCAAACUUAAUAGUUUGUACAGGUGUAUAAGUGAGAUGUUUAAAAAAUAUUACCCCAUCUCUUGUAAUUAAUGUUCCUCCGUUAUUUUGUAUCAUAAAUUUUAAUCCUAAUACAAAAUCUACAUUUAUGUUAAAAUCC